AAAGAAAGAAAGAAAGAAAGGACGGACCGGCAGGCGUGGGGGAGGGGCGGGCCAUCGCCAUGUGCGCCAAGGCGCCUAGAAAGGACGGUCCGGCAGGCGUGGGGGAGGGGCGGGCCAUUGCCCUGUGCCCCAAGGCGCCUAUAACUGCAGCCUACGUGCAGGAGCACAAUUCAGGCUGGCCAGCCAGGCCACAGGGACUUCUGGUAGUCACUUGUCAUGCUAGCCCCAGCAUGAAAGCUCCCCUGCUUCCCUUAAAGGGAACGUAUCCACAGGGGAGCAGAGAUCAAAGCUUUCACAGGCAAGGCUGUCAGCAGGGAAGAAAGCAGCAGGUAUAGACUGAAGCAGAAAGAAGAAAUGCUAAACGAACAAGAGGAAGAUGAGUCACAAGAAUUUGUCCAGACAGACAGUGGUGGCACACGUGUUUAAUCCCAGCACAAAGGCAGAGGAAAGCAAUCUCUGAGUUCGAGGCCAGCCUGGUCUACAUAUAGAUGGCUAGGGCUGUAAAGAGAAACCCUGACUCAAAACAAACAAACUAAAAACAUCUCUUUCCUGGAGAUAAUAGGACAGAGCAUUUGUGAGUCAUGCGAUACUAGAAUAAGCAUGAAGUCUGACUAUUGCCAUUACAUGGUGGCAUGCCACUGGGAAGGCAGAUUGAUGACUGACACAGUGAAGGCCAGUCCAUUUUAUUUUACUGCCAGCUGAAGAUGAAAAGGGCAGGAGUAGUUGAUUGUCAUCUAAAUUAAGCACAGGACAUCUUUUUCCCUUCAAGAUGCUGCACGGCUUACAUAAAGAUAUCCCCCUUGAAUUAAGUGUAAUUUGGUUCCAGACCAUCCCAAAGGACUCAUUGGAUAACUGGAAAGAAUGGCAAGUAAAGCGCUCGCAACAAGUGUGUAAGCCGAAUCCUUUGGAAUGCAGGACAAGAUGGGGUUUUCAGAAGAUGCUAUAAAAUCACUUCCUCUUGGGCAACAACCUGAACAUUGUUCUCUAACUAAAAUGGCUAAGAGCAGUGGCUACUCUUCCAGAGGAACACAGACCCCCUCCCCACCCCCCCAAUUCCUAGCACCUACAUGGCAGUCCACACCUGUCUGUAAUUGCAGUUCCGGGGAUUUUAACACAUUCACACAUAGGUGCAAAACACCUUUGCACAUAGGAGCAAAAACACCUUUGCCUUAGGAGCAAAGUGACCUCAGAGCCUGGUCUCCCGACACAUAAGGAAUGCUUCAUGAAAGAAGGUAGGAAGUCAAUCUUCCUUUGCCAGCUCCAAGAAGAGAGACUCUUCCCUCUUAGGGGAAGGAGCCAAGAGGCCAAAGAUGGCCUCCAAACCAUGUACACCUCAAGAAGCAAAGUGGGAGCCGAACUCCACCAGCUUGGGUGAGAGACACUAAAGCCCCCACAGAACUUUGCCUUGGAGCUCAGUCCCUUACUGACAUGGGACUCAGCAACAGGAGGGGAACAAGUUGUAGCUCACAGAGGGAAACUGUCUUAGGUUUCUAUUGCUGUGAUGAAACACCAUCACCAAAAAGCAAGUUUGGAGGAAAAGGGUUUAUUUGGCUUAUACAUCCACAUUGCUGUUUACCACUAAAGGAAGUCAGGACAGGAACUCAGAAGGGCAGGAUCCUGGAGGCAGGAGCGGAUGCAGAGGCCAUGGAGGGUGCUGCUUACUGGUUUGCUUCCCAAGGCUUGGUCAGCCUGCUUUAUUAUAGAACCCAGAAGCACAAGCCCAUAAAUGGCAUCACCUACCAUGGGUUGGGCGCUCCCUAAUUGAGAAAAUACAUUACAGCGGGAUCUCAUGGAGGCAUUUCCUUCACUGAGGCUCCUUCUUUUCUAAUGACUCUAGCUUGUGUCAAGUUAACACACGAAACUACCCAGUACAGAAACUUUAUAACAACUUCAGCAUCAGGCACAGCCUGCACAUGGGCAGGACAAGCAGGUCAUGUGAGCCAUUUGUCCAGGAACCAUUGUUUCUUUCUUUCUCUCCUUCCCCUCCCUCUUUCUCUCUUGCAAAUUGUGAAAUAGGAAGGAAAUAACUGCAAGGAUUUUAUGUGGAUGCCUUGCUUCUCCACAGACAAGUGUAGCACUGAGUGUCCAGAGCACAGGGUGUUUCUUCUCUUGGUUUUUCAAGACAGGGUUUCUCUGUGUAACAGGUCUGGCUGUUCUAGAACUCAUCUUCAUAGACCAGGUUGAUCUUGAACUUAAGAGAUCUGACUGCCUCUGCCUCCUAAGUGCUACCAUCAAAAGCAUGUGCCAUCACCACCUGGCUCAGCACAGGGGUUUUGAAGGCAAAGUCCACAUACUAGCUUCUUUCUAAGCAGAUGAAGGGGGUGGGGGUCUCACAGAAGCAAGCAAUUUAAUAGAAGCUAAGACAAGCAGUUACUGGAGGGGAUUCCAUACAAACAGCCAGUUUAACAGAAGCUAACCUAGCAGGGGCAUCUUGAAUAGAUUUGUAAUGUUCCAUGGGAUUCUCUACCAAGGAGAAUCAACUUUAAGUUAACCCUGAAAUUGCUUCAUCAAGAAUCCAAGAUGGGGGCUGGAGAGAUGGAACAGUGGUUAAGAGCACUGACUGUUCUUCUAGAGGACCUGGGUUCAAUUCCCAUGGCAGCUUAUAACUGUCUGUAACUCCAGUUCUAGGGCACCUAACACCUGUAUACCAAUGCACAUAAAAUAAAGUUAAACAAAUUAUUAAAAAAAAAAGAAUCCAAGAUGGCUGGGUGGUGGUAAUGUACAACCAGCAGCAGAUAUUGCUAGCACACAGGAGGCAGAGGCAGGAUAUCUGUGAGUUACAGUCAGGGCUACACUUCCAAGAUGGAAGAAUCUUUGCACUGUCCUGCCCUGUCACAAAUCAAAUGAGAAGGUCAGCAAGGAUAGAACAGCAAAUGAAUUGCGGCACUGAGGAUUUUAACUGAACUGAACAAUUCAGUGGAUGGUUUUAGCAGCAGACUUGAUUGUGUUACUUGAAGUUCAGUUGAAAUUAUACACUCAAAGAAGCAAAAAGAAAAAAAAAUGGAAUAGGGGUGCAGUACGUUGGGGAAUGAAGAAAGUACUGAGUGAAGUCCCAAGUGAAUGUUCAUAGUUGCCACCAGCACAGCAGGUCAAUGACCCUAGCCCCAGCCCCAUGGGAAAAUGACAGAGCCAGGCUCAGAGUGAAAUGGUGAAAAUCUUCACUUCUGGUCCAUGUAUGGAUGUUGAUAGU
rnacentral:lncRNA from 1 species